rnacentral:rRNA from 1 species
UUGCUCUUCAACGAGGAAUGCCUAGUAAGCGCGAGUCAUCAGCUCGCGUUGACUACGUCCCUGCCCUUUGUACACACCGCCCGUCGCUCCUACCGAUUGAAUGGUCCGGUGAAGUGUUCGGAUCGUGGCGACUGAGGCGGUUCGCCGCCCCCGACGUCGCGAGAAGUCCAUUGAACCUUAUCAUUUAGAGGAAGGAGAAGUCGUAACAAGGUUUCCGUAGGUGAACCUGCGGAAGGAUCAUUGUCGUGACCCUGACCAAAAAAGACCGUGAAACCGUCAUCUAGCCCGCCAGCAGCAGCCAUGCCGUUGCUUGGCCAAAUUCCUCGAGAACCUCCCCUCCUUGGAGUGGUGGCUCGGGGUAAAAGAACCCACGGCGCCAAAGGCGUCAAGGAACACUGUGCCUUACCCGGGGUGUGGCUGGCUUGCUAGCCGUGCCCCGUGUUGCAAUGCUAUAUAAUCCACACGACUCUCGGCAACGGAUAUCUCGGCUCUCGCAUCGAUGAAGAACGUAGCGAAAUGCGAUACCUGGUGUGAAUUGCAGAAUCCCGCGAACCAUCGAGUCUUUGAACGCAAGUUGCGCCUGAGGCCACUUGGCCGAGGGCACGCCUGCUUGGGCGUCACGUCAAACACGCUCCCACCACUCAUCGGGAAGUGGGACGCGGCAUGUGGCCCCCCGUUUCGCAAGGUACGGUGGGCCUAAGAUGUGGCUGCCGGCCUAUCGUGCCGGACACAGCGCGUGGUGGGCGAUCUCGCUUUACUUACCGCAGUGCAUACGGACCGUAGCCGAUGUUAUGGCCUUAAGGACCCAAAGAACGGAGCACUUGAUGCUUCGACCGCGACCCCAAGUCAGGCGGGACUACCCGCUGAGUUUAAGCAUAUCAAUAAGCGGAGGA